GGGACACGAGGAAUCCUGUCUGAAUCCGGGUCGACCACGAUCCAACCCUAAAUACUAAUACCAGAUCGAUAGUGCACAAGUACCGUGAGGGAAAGGUGAAAAGAACUGAGGUGAUCAGAGUGAAAUAGAACCUGAAACCAUUUGCUUACAAUCAUUCAGAGCCCUAUGUAGCAAUACAGGGUGAUGGACUGCCUUUUGCAUAAUGAGCCUGCGAGUUGUGGUGUCUGGCAAGGUUAAGCAAACGCGAAGCCGUAGCGAAAGCGAGUCUGAAUAGGGCGCUUAGUCAGAUGCUGCAGACCCGAAACGAAGUGAUCUAUCCAUGAGCAAGUUGAAGCUAGUGUAAGAACUAGUGGAGGACUGAACCCAUAGGCGUUGAAAAGCCCCGGGAUGACUUGUGGAUAGGGGUGAAAGGCCAAUCAAACUUCGUGAUAGCUGGUUCUCUCCGAAAUAUAUUUAGGUAUAGCGUUGUGUCGUAAUAUAAGGGGGUAGAGCACUGAAUGGGCUAGGGCAUACACCAAUGUACCAAACCCUAUCAAACUCCGAAUACCUUAUAUGUAAUCACAGCAGUCAGGCGGCGAGUGAUAAAAUCCGUCGUCAAGAGGGAAACAACCCAGACUACCAGCUAAGGUCCCUAAAUCUUACUUAAGUGGAAAACGAUGUGAAGUUACUUAAACAACCAGGAGGUUGGCUUAGAAGCAGCCAUCCUUUAAAGAAAGCGUAAUAGCUCACUGGUCUAGUGAUUUUGCGCGGAAAAUAUAACGGGGCUAAAGU
rnacentral:rRNA from 1 species